GCUCUAUCAGGUGUUCAGCAGGUGAGAGUGAGAGUGUUGCUCUAUCAGGUGUUCAGUAGGUGAGAGUGAGAGUGCUGCUCUAUCAGGUGUUCAGUAGGUGAGAGUGAGAGUGUUGCUCUAUCAGGUGUUCAGCAGGUGAGAGUGAGUGUUGCUCUAUCAGGUGUUCAGCAGGUGAGAGUGUUGCUCUAUCAGGUGUUCAGUAGGUGAGAGUGAGACUGUUGCUCUAGCAGGUGUUCAGCAGGUGAGAGUGUUGCUCUAUCAGGUGUUCAGUAGGUGAGAGUGUGAGUGUUGCUCUAUCAGGUGUUCAGUAGGUGAGAGUGAGAGUGUUGCUCUAUCAGGUGUUCAGUAGGUGAGAGUGAGAGUGUUGCAGGUGUUCAGUAGGUGAGGUGAGAGUGUUGCUCUAGCAGGUGUUCAGCAGGUGAGAGUGAGUGUUGCUCUAUCAGGUGUUCAGUAGGUGAGAGUGUUGCUCUAUCAGGUGUUCAGUAGGUGAGAGUGAGUGUUGCAGGUGUUCAGUAGGUGAGGUGAGAGUGUUGCUCUAUCAGGUGUUCAGUAGGUGAGAGUGAGAGUGUUGCUCUAUCAGGUGUUCAGCAGGUGAGAGUGCUGCUCUAUCAGGUGUUCAGCAGGUGAGAGUGUUGCUCUAUCAGGUGUUCAGUAGGUGAGAGUGAGAGUGUUGCUCUAUCAGGUGUUCAGUAGGUGAGAGUGAGAGUGUUGCUCUAUCAGGUGUUCAGUAGGUGAGAGUGAGAGUGUUGCUCUAUCAGGUGUUCAGCAGGUGAGAGUGAGAGUGUUGCUCUAUCAGGUGUUCAGUUGGUGAGAGUGAGAGUGUUGCUCUAUCAGGUGUUCAGUAGGUGAGAGUGUUGCUCUAGCAGGUGUUCAGUAGGUGAGAGUGUUGCUCUAUCAGGUGUUCAGUAGGUGAGAGUGAGAGUGCUGCAGGUGUUCAGUAGGUGAGAGUGAGAGUGUUGCUCUAUCAGGUGUUCAGUAGGUGAGAGUGUUGCUCUAGCAGGUGUUCAGCAGGUGAGAGUGAGGGUGUUGCUCUAGCAGGUGUUCAGUAGGUGAGGUGAGAGUGUUGCUCUAGCAGGUGUUCAGUAGGUGAGAGUGAGAGUGUUGCUCUAGCAGGUGUUCAGUAGGUGAGAGUGUUGCUCUAGCAGGUGUUCAGCAGGUGAGAGUGUUCAGGUGUUCAGUA